UACGUAGGGGGCAAGCGUUGUCCGGAAUCAUUGGGCGUAAAGCGCGUGUAGGCGGUCCGGUAAGUCCGCUGUGAAAGUCGGGGGCUCAACCCUCGGAUGCCGGUGGAUACUGUCGGGCUUGAGUACGGAAGAGGCGAGUGGAAUUCCUGGUGUAGCGGUGAAAUGCGCAGAUAUCAGGAGGAACACCAAUGGCGAAGGCAGCUCGCUGGAACGGUACUGACGCUGAGGCGCGAAAGCGUGGGGAGCGAACAGG
rnacentral:rRNA from 1 species